AAGGAGACCCGAGAAAAAAACCGAUUCAAAUGUUCUCCUCAGAUAGUCACUUAACAAAGUCUUUGGCAUUUGCCCAGUACUGGGAGUGGUCAAAGUAGGUUCUUUACUUCACUCUUAACAUGAAAUCAAAAUAUUUUUGAAAUCAGUCCUUGGGGUCCGGAGAAAACCCGGUUCUAAUAUUCCACAUGAACAGUCGCUUUACAAAGCCUGACUUAUUUGCCCAGUACUGGGAGUGGUCAAAGUAGGUUCUUUACUUCACUCUUAACAUGAAAUCAAAAUAUUUUUGAAAUCAGUCCUUGGGGGCCGGAGAAAACCCGGUUCUAAUAUUCCACAUGAACAGUCGCUUUACAAAGCCUGACUUAUUUGCCCAGGAGUGGGAGUGAUUGAAGUAGGUUCCUUACUUCACUUUUAACAUGAAAUUAAAAUAUUUUUGAAAUCGGUCAAAGGAGACCCGAGGAAAACCGGUUUAAAUGUUCUCCUUAGAUAGUCACUUAACAAAGUCUUUGGCAUUUGCCCAGUAGUGGGAGUGGUCAAAAUAGGUUCCUUACUUCACUUUUAACAUGAAAUUAAAAUAUUUUUGAAAUCGGUCAAAGGAGACCCGAGAAAAAAAACCGAUUCAAAUGUUCUCCUCAGAUAGUCACUUAACAAAGUCUUUGGCAUUUGCCCAGUAGUGGGAGUGGUCAAAAUAGGUUCUUUACUUCACUCUUAACAUGAAAUCCAAAUAUUUUUGAAAUCGGUCCCUGGGGUCCGGAGAAAAACCGGUUCUAAUAUUCCACAUGAACAGUCGCUUUACAAAGCCUGUCUUAUUUGCCCAGUAUUGGGAGUGAUUGGAAUAGGUUCCUUACUUCACUUUUAACAUGAAAUUAAAAUAUUUUUGAAAUCGGUCAAAGGAGACCCGAGAAAAAAACCGAUUCAAAUGUUCUCCUCAGAUAGUCACUUAACAAAGUCUUUGGCAUUUGCCCAGUAGUGGGAGUGGUCAAAGUAGGUUCUUUACUUCACUCUUAACAUGAAAUCAAAAUAUUUUUGAAAUCAGUCCUUGGGGUCCGGAGAAAACCCGGUUCUAAUAUUCCACAUGAACAGUCGCUUUACAAAGCCUGACUUAUUUGCCCAGGAGUGGGAGUGAUUGAAAUAGGUUCCUUAAUUCACUUUUAACAUGAAAUUAAAAUAUUUUUGAAAUCGGUCAAAGGAGACCCGAGAAAAAAACCGAUUCAAAUGUUCUCCUCAGAUAGUCACUUAACAAAGUCUUUGGCAUUUGCCCAGUAGUGGGAGUGGUCAAAGUAGGUUCUUUACUUCACUCUUAACAUGAAAUCAAAAUAUUUUUGAAAUCAGUCCUUGGGGUCCGGAGAAAACCCGGUUCUAAUAUUCCACAUGAACAGUCGCUUUACAAAGCCUGACUUAUUUGCCCAGGAGUGGGAGUGAUUGAAGUAGGUUCCUUACUUCACUUUUAACAUGAAAUUAAAAUAUUUUUAAAACGGUCAAAGGAGACCCGAGAAAAAAACCGAUUCAAAUGUUCUCCUCAGAUAGUCACUUAACAAAGUCUUUGGCAUUUGCCCAGUACUGGGAGUGGUCAAAGUAGGUUCUUUACUUCACUCUUAACAUGAAAUCAAAAUAUUUUUGAAAUCAGUCCUUGGGGUCCGGAGAAAACCCGGUUCUAAUAUUCCACAUGAACAGUCGCUUUACAAAGCCUGACUUAUUUGCCCAGGAGUGGGAGUGAUUGAAGUAGGUUCCUUACUUCACUUUUAACAUGAAAUUAAAAUAUUUUUGAAAUCGGUCAAAGGAGACCCGAGAAAAAAACCGAUUCAAAUGUUCUCCUCAGAUAGUCACUUAACAAAGUCUUUGGCAUUUGCCCAGUACUGGGAGUGGUCAAAGUAGGUUCUUUACUUCACUCUUAACAUGAAAUCAAAAUAUUUUUGAAAUCAGUCCUUGGGGGCCGGAGAAAACCCGGUUCUAAUAUUCCACAUGAACAGUCGCUUUACAAAGCCUGACUUAUUUGCCCAGGAGUGGGAGUGAUUGAAGUAGGUUCCUUACUUCACUUUUAACAUGAAAUUAAAAUAUUUUUGAAAUCGGUCAAAGGAGACCCGAGGAAAACCGGUUUAAAUGUUCUCCUUAGAUAGUCACUUAACAAAGUCUUUGGCAUUUGCCCAGUAGUGGGAGUGGUCAAAAUAGGUUCCUUACUUCACUUUUAACAUGAAAUUAAAAUAUUUUUGAAAUCGGUCAAAGGAGACCCGAGAAAAAAAACCGAUUCAAAUGUUCUCCUCAGAUAGUCACUUAACAAAGUCUUUGGCAUUUGCCCAGUAGUGGGAGUGGUCAAAAUAGGUUCUUUACUUCACUCUUAACAUGAAAUCCAAAUAUUUUUGAAAUCGGUCCCUGGGGUCCGGAGAAAAACCGGUUCUAAUAUUCCACAUGAACAGUCGCUUUACAAAGCCUGUCUUAUUUGCCCAGUAUUGGGAGUGAUUGGAAUAGGUUCCUUACUUCACUUUUAACAUGAAAUUAAAAUAUUUUUGAAAUCGGUCAAAGGAGACCCGAGAAAAAAACCGAUUCAAAUGUUCUCCUCAGAUAGUCACUUAACAAAGUCUUUGGCAUUUGCCCAGUAGUGGGAGUGGUCAAAGUAGGUUCUUUACUUCACUCUUAACAUGAAAUCAAAAUAUUUUUGAAAUCA